AAAUUUAAUUUAAAUGAAUCUAUCAUUUCAAUUGUUUAACUUAACAGUUUUAUUCCAAAAUAUUGAUUUAUCAAACCAACAAUGUAUUUCUAUAUUUUUAUCGUGAUGUAUCUCACUAGAAGUCUUUCAAACGCAUUUCUUUUUUUAUAUCCACCUAUGAUAGAUCAGGAUUCGAAAUUUAGUCGUUUAGCAUCCCUUCAUCUGAAGCGUAUAUUUAAUGAUAAUGUCCAUAAUGAUAGAGGUAUGGACUUAAUAACAUUUAAAGCCCUUAUGUAUGUUUUUAAACCAGUACACGAAUUGAAUGAUAUUGAUAUUGAAAAAUUAUUCCAUAAAGAAAUUUUAUUUAAUGUAAACGUAUUUAUGAGUUCGUAUAAAUUUUUAAAACGAAUAUUUGAAGUUACAAAAAAAGUUGAGCAUAAAUUAAAAACUAUUUAUGAAAAUCAUGUCAACCAAGAUGGCAAGAUGACUAAACAAACAUUUAUUGAAGCUAUAAAAGUAUUGAGUAUGUGUGAUAUUACACAAAAUGAAGCUAGUGAAACAAUAAAUGUAGAAGGUGCAGACCCACAAAAUAUCAGCUUUACAGUUAAAAAGAAAAAAUCGAUAAACAAAAAAAAAAAAGGAUCAUCAUUAUAAUAAUUCACUAAUAAUUGUAACAACUUUCAAAAACAGUGAACCAUAAUGGGAAUAGUGCCCUUUUACAACAUAGACAAUUAUUAUCAACAAUUUAAAAAAUUUUAAUUCUAUUAAUGCAAAUACACUACAAUAAAACUUCGAUGAUUGAAGUCCAUCUGACUUUCAUAACAUGAACACAAAAUGUGACUAUGCCAAGAAUAAAUAAUAAUAUGUAAUAUUUAAGCUGUAUGAAAAAUAGAUCAAUUGAAUAAAGUUUAAAGUAGCUAAAUGAAAAGUACUCAAAAUGAAAGAUACUGAAAUUGAAUCUGAUGCAAAAUAGUGAAAAAAGAAAUAUGGUUUUCAAAUAAACGCACAACUACUAUUUCAAAUGACUGCGUCCAGGAAGAAGAGGAAAAAUUGUGCUCUCAUUAAGAAAGAGUAACCAGUAAAAUACUGCGAAGAAAAACUCUAUCUUUAUGCGUUCUCGUUCGAUUCAAGUACUUAAUGUCAAUUAAUAAAAUCAAAUGCAUCGACUAUACUAUACAUACAAAAAUGAAAAAUAUGCUAAUUUUAACAUUGUCUCCUGAUAUUAAUUUGAAAACAAUGUGUAAAAAUAAAUGAAAUAACUUCACUUCAUUAUAAUUAACUAUGAUUUAUCAUAAUUAAACGUAUACACUAUUUUCUUUAUUUAAAA